GAUGAAGAACGCAGCGAAAUGCGAUAAGUAAUGUGAAUUGCAGAAUUCAGUGAAUCAUCGAAUCUUUGAACGCACAUUGCGCCCGCCAGUAUUCUGGCGGGCAUGCCUGUUCGAGCGUCAUUUCAACCAUCAAGCCCCCGGCUUGUGUUGGGGACCUGCGGCUGCCGCAGGCCCUGAAAACCAGUGGCGGGCUCGCUAGUCACUCCGAGCGUAGUAAUACAUCUCGCUCAGGGCGUGCUGCGGGUUCCGGCCGUUAAAAAGCCUUAUUUACCCAAGGUUGACCUCGGAUCAGGUAGGAAGACCCGCUGAACUUAAGCAUAUCAAUAACGGAGGAA
rnacentral:misc_RNA from 1 species